AAUUCAACCACCAGGGGCAAGACAUGUUAAAGUGCCGGGCAGAAUCAUCUAAGCAGUGAAGAUACUGUAGGUCUAGAUGAGUUGCAACUGAUUGAAGCAGAGUGAUAGUCAAGCACGGAGGUAUGCAAACAUCUGGCACAAUGGCUUCCAUGGCCCAACCAUGCAGGGAUGGCUUGGUCAGACUACAAAAACAUGGUUCAAAAGAUGACACAGAGAAAGCGAGAUUAAAGUUGGCACUAAAGUUCUUCAAUUUAACUUCAGGCAGUUAAGAAUCUAAUGAAGCAAUUUAUAGAAUUCAAGAAAAUUCAAGCCACUUCUCCAAAUG